rnacentral:lncRNA from 1 species
GUAUAAUUAAGAAACAUUUUCUCCUUUCUUGUUUUUUUACAGGAUCUUUUCCCAGUCUCAAUCCACAAGCCCCUAGCCCUUCACCUGCCACUUUACACUAUUACAGAGACACAGCAGAGGUCUGCGUGAGUUUCUGUUUUAAGAAGUCCCCCAAAAUAAAUGUGCAUUCUCAAAUAAUCAUAAGGAGAGACUUGUGUUGCUCAUCUCGACAUUUGCCAUAUCGCUUGUUUUCACUCUCUCAUGAUGAAGUGGUCAUCUUAGACAUUGAUGCAUUUUUCUCUUUGAAGGGUCAGUUCAAAGAACUCAAGGUUACCUUUGGAGCUCAUAGCAAGUACUCUAUUGUGAGCCGUCCUGUCCAUGCCACUUCUCCCAACCUCAGUUCUGAGUGUGCUUCAGAAUCCAUGUCCACAAGGCUUCCAUUCUAAUCUCCAAAUUGCAGAAUGACUGAACACCAGCAAACCAUGAGGCUUUGUAAAGAUUGUAGAUAAACAUUUACAUCAAUGCAAACACUUUCAGAAACUGGCAGAGCUAAAUGUCUAACUUGAUGUCGCCUCAGAUUUGGAACAAGGACAAUAAAAUUACGAAGUAUGGUUUCUGCA